rnacentral:ribozyme from 1 species
GACAAUGUAGAACCGGCCAAAGAAACGAAACGAUACGUCGUGCCCGAAGAUCGGGCCAUCGGUCGUCCUCAUAUGAUGGGAUGGUUGGAGCUAUUGGGGGAAGAUGAAGAACUCAUGGGAGGUGCAAAAAAUGAAAAGGAGAAAGAGGAAAAGUUCGAGGCAGAUGAAUGGGUCGAAGUUGAA